rnacentral:rRNA from 1 species
AUUGAACGCUGGCGGCAGGCCUAACACAUGCAAGUCGAACGGUAACAGGAAGCAGCUUGCUGCUUCGCUGACGAGUGGCGGACGGGUGAGUAAUGUCUGGGAAGCUGCCUGAUGGAGGGGGAUAACUACUGGAAACGGUAGCUAAUACCGCAUAAUGUCGCAAGACCAAAGAGGGGGACCUUCGGGCCUCUUGCCAUCGGAUGUGCCCAGAUGGGAUUAGCUUGUUGGUGGGGUAACGGCUCACCAAGGCGACGAUCCCUAGCUGGUCUGAGAGGAUGACCAGCCACACUGGAACUGAGACACGGUCCAGACUCCUACGGGAGGCAGCAGUGGGGAAUAUUGCACAAUGGGCGCAAGCCUGAUGCAGCCAUGCCGCGUGUAUGAAGAAGGCCUUCGGGUUGUAAAGUACUUUCAGCGGGGAGGAAGGGAGUAAAGUUAAUCCCUUUGCUCAUUGACGUUACCCGCAGAAGAAGCACCGGCUAACUCCGUG